GCGCUCCCGGCCGGCCUGGGCUUCCGGUGUGACCACGGCGGUGUCCCCAGCAUCCUGGCCUUGCCACCCCGAGCAGAGCGGGGAGUCACUGUCACUGAGGCUGCCUUACCGAAAGCCCGUUAGGGACUGGACUCCAGCCGGAAGGGAUAACAGGGGAUGCAAGUCCGCUGAGCCUCUGGCCCACCCAUGGCCUGGCGUCGCGCGGGGCCGCCCACACCAGCCCGCUCCUCUGGUUUUUACUGGGCUUUUUCUUCCUAUGUUGUGUGUUGAACCCAAGGUCUGGCGCUGAGCUAUGUCCCCAGCCCGUUUUGGUUUUUGAGACAGGGUUUUGCUAAACUCCCCAGGCUGGCCUGGAGCGUGCAGUCCACCUGCCUCGGGUCGCAAGCUGAUUCUUGACUCCCCGUUUGCUGGGCGUGCGCGGCCCAUGCCCCUCAGCGAGGCCUGUGGAUUUUCCUGACUUCUCCCCCCCGCCUGGCGCGGCCGGCUGGGGACCCCUGACCCACGGACGGCUCUGGUGGCCACAGGGAGCCCAAGGAGGGGACGCUGUGCGGUGGCGAAACCCAGGUGAGGGCACUGAGCCGCAGGGCAGAACCGGCCUGCUGGGCCCCUCGGGUGCGCAGGACAAGCGAUACUUCAGGAGGAUCGCGGCGGCGAACCUGUGAGAGCCGUGCAGAGGCUGAGGCGGCCAGGGACGAAGUCACCGGCACCUGCAGCAGGAACGCGAAGGGCCAGACGGAAGCGGAGAGCGUUGAGCGCCUCCCUCGCACAAACUCGCAGCGGAGCCGCCGCGCAGCCCGAGCAGCGUCGCGUCAGGCCUCAUGAUCUCCUUGGUAGACACUUGUGUGCGCCAAAGCCCGGAGCAAGCCAGACUUUCCGAUUAAUGUGUGAGAUUGUGUCCUGUUUGAUUAAAACCAUAAAUAGACAUUCUCAGAUUUUGCUAUUUUAAAAGUUUAGAUUCGGCGUGGAGUUUGAAAACCUGGCAGGGUUUUCAGUCGUUUGAACGAUGCGGACCCAGCCCUGGCGAGGUUCACGUUUGUGUGCCACGCCGCCCUCUGCUGGCGCGCGGGGUGUGCUGCGGGGCGCGGACAGGCGGGCGGCAGCCUUGAGCCACUCACUCCUGGCACAGGGCUGCAGAUGAAUCAAUAUCCAGAUCUCAAGGGCUGCAGAGGAGGAGAAAGGAGUGGAAAGGCAGAAAGGUUCCGAACUUUAAACUUUAUAAAAGUGGCCUGAAGUGGACAGGACUCCUCCAUGUCGAUGUCCUCAGCCAUGGACUGAAGCCUCUGAAACCGUGAGCCAAGAUAAGUCUUUUCUCCUGUUUUUUUUUUUGGUACUGGGGAUCGAACUACGGACCUUGGGCUUUCGAGGCAGGCGGUGACACCACUGAGCUAAAUCCCCAGCCCAGUCUUUUCUCCUUUAAAUCAAUUUUCUCAGGUAUUUUCUCACCUCAAGGGAAAGCUAACACAUCCCUGUCUGUCCCCAGGAGGCCCUGCACUUGUCUGCUAACCACUGCAAGGUUUCUAGAGGAGUGUAAGUAAUUAUGUGCAAAAUGCGGGUGCCUUCCUGCUUUCUCACUUUCAGUCCAAAGUUUCAAAUGUCUUUAUCAUUCAGUGUCUUUUGUUCCAACUGUUGCCAAUGAUUUUAUUUUUACUGUGACUUUUAAAAAUUGCUGUAAUUAAAAUGUCUAACAAUUAAAAUCAACAUUUCAACAUCUCUUUCCAAGUGUUGAGGGAACUGAAAAAUGAU
ensembl:lncRNA